CGAGUUGGCCGGGCGGCCGCGGACGGCCUAGGGGCUGUUCGAGGAAAGUCCGGACUUCACAGAGCAGGGUGAUUGCUAACGGCAAUCCGAGGUGACUCGCGGGAAAGUGCCACAGAAAACAGACCGCCACCUUCGGUGGUAAGGGUGAAACGGUGCGGUAAGAGCGCACCAGCAUCCCGGGUGACCGGGAUGGCUAGGCAAACCCCACCCGAAGCAAGGCCGAGAAGGCCGCACCUGGUGUGGCUGCGCAGGCGCUCGAGGGUUGCUCGCCCGAGCCUGCGGGUAGGCCGCUCGAGGCACCCGGUGACGGUGUGCCCAGAUGGAUGGUCGCCGUCUCGGCGCCGUGGUCUCCGCGGCGGCGAGAGACAGAAUCCGGCUUAUAGGCCAACUCGUUCG
rnacentral:RNase_P_RNA from 1 species